GGAGGGUAUAGCUCAGUGGUAGAGUGUGUGCUUAGCAUGCACAAGGUUCUGGGUUCAAUCCCCAGUACCUCCA
rnacentral:tRNA from 1 species